rnacentral:rRNA from 1 species
UUGAAUUCCCGUUGAUCCUGCGGGGGAUUGCUGCUAUCAGGAUUCGAUUAAGCCAUGCAAGUCAGGUCAGCAAUGGCCGGCAACAGGCUCAGUAACACGUCGAUAAUCUGCCCUUAGGUUAGGAAUACCCACGGAAAACUGUGGCUAAAUCCUGAUAUUGAAGAGAUUCUGGAAAGAGCUUUUCAUUAAACGCAAGGUCUAAGGAUGAGUCGGCGGCGGAUUAGGCAGUUGGCGGUGUAACGGACCACCAAACCUAAGAUCCGUAGGGGCCCUGAGAGGGGUAGCCCCGAGAGGGACACUGAAAUACUGGUCCCAGCUCCACGGAGUGCAGCAGGCGCGUAACCUCCACAAUGCGCGAAAGCGUGAUGGGGGGAUCCUGAGUGCUUACAUUAAUUGUAAGCUUUUGCCAAGAGCAAAUAUCUUGGAGAAUAAGUGGUGGGAAAGACCGGUGCCAGCAGCCGCGGUAACCCCGGCGCCACAAGUGGCAAUCUUAUAUUGGGCCUAAAGCAUUCGUAGCCGGUUUGAAAAAUCUCUUGUGAAAUUGUUGAACUCAAUACAACAGCAUGCAGGAGACACUUUCAAGCUAGAGACUGGGAGGAGUUAGGGGUAUUUCUGGGGGAGCGGUUAAAUGUGAUAAUCCUAGAAAGACCACCUGUGGCGAAGGCGCCUAACUAGAACAGUUCUGACGGUGAGGGAUGAAAGCUAGGGUAGCGAUCCGGAUUAGAUACCCGAGNNNNNNNNCAAGACCUGUAUCUAUAAUUGCUACCAGGUUCCACGGAAUGACUGAGCCCAUUAUAGAGACUGCCUUCGUAAGAAGGAGGAAGGUGCAGGCAACGGUAGGUCUGUAUGCUCCGAAUCUCCUAGGCUACACGCGCGCAACAGUGGUGAAGACAAUGGGAUGCAACUCCGAAAGGAGAAGCCAAGCCUCGAAACUUCAUCGUAGUUUAGAUUGUGGGUUGCAACUCACCCACAUGACAACGGAAUUCCUAGUAAUCAGACUUCAUCAUAGUCUGGUGAAUAUGUCCCUGUUCCUUGCACACACCGCCCGUCAAGCCAACCGAGCAGGGUUUAGAUGAGCCCUAAUUUUUUGAUUAUUGCGAAUCUAAGCUCAGUAAGGUGGGUUAAGUCGUCACAAGGUCACCGUAGGGGAACCUGCGGUGGGAUCACCUCCUU